AUUGAUUUUAUGCUUGCAUAAAUGAUUUUUGGAUUCGGAGCGAGUGGCGAACUGGUGAGUAACACGUGGGUAACCUGCCCCGAAGCGGGGGAUAACAUUUGGAAACAAGUGCUAAUACCGCAUAAUUAGUUGGAACCGCAUGGUUCCAACUUGAAAGAUGGCUCUGCUAUCACUUUGGGAUGGACCCGCGCCGUACUAGUUAGUUGGUGAGAUAAAAGCCCACCAAGACGAUGAUACGUAGCCGACCUGAGAGGGUAAUCGGCCACAUUGGGACUGAGACACGGCCCAGACUCCUACGGGAGGCAGCAGUAGGGAAUCUUCCACAAUGGACGAAAGUCUGAUGGAGCAACGCCGCGUGAGUGAUGAAGGUUUUCGGAUCGUAAAACUCUGUUGUUAAAGAAGAACAAGUGUUAGAGUAACUGUUAACACUUUGACGGUAUUUAACCAGAAAGCCACGGCUAACUACGUGCCAGCAGCCGCGGUAAUACGUAGGUGGCAAGCGUUGUCCGGAUUUAUUGGGCGUAAAGCGAGCGCAGGCGGUUUUGUAAGUCUGCUGUGAAAGCCCUCAGCUCAACUGAGGAAGUGCAGUGGAAACUACAAAACUUGAGUACGGAAGAGGAAAGUGGAACUCCAUGUGUAGCGGUGAAAUGCGUAGAUAUAUGGAAGAACACCAGUGGCGAAGGCGGCUUUCUGGUCUGUUACUGACGCUGAGGCUCGAAAGCAUGGGUAGCGAACAGGAUUAGAUACCCUGGUAGUCCAUGCCGUAAACGAUGAAUACUAGGUGUUGGAGGGUUUCCGCCCUUCAGUGCCGCAGCUAACGCAUUAAGUAUUCCGCCUGGGGAGUACGACCGCAAGGUUGAAACUCAAAGGAAUUGACGGGGGCCCGCACAAGUGGUGGAGCAUGUGGUUUAAUUCGAUGCUACGCGAAGAACCUUACCAGCUCUUGACAUCUUCUGCCAACCCAAGAGAUUGGGCGUUCCCUUCGGGGACAGAAUGACAGGUGGUGCAUGGUUGUCGUCAGCUCGUGUCGUGAGAUGUUGGGUUAAGUCCCGCAACGAGCGCAACCCUUAUUAUUAGUUGCCAGCAUUUAGUUGGGCACUCUAGUGAGACUGCCGGUGAUAAA
rnacentral:rRNA from 1 species